ACUUAAUUAGUAUAUUAAGUACAUUUGACUUCCAAUCAAAAAGUUUGUGAAACAAAUUAAGUA
rnacentral:tRNA from 1 species